rnacentral:lncRNA from 1 species
UCGAUCGAUCGAUCGAUCGGCUGCAGUGUCCCAAUGUGAUUAAGCACACUGGUAGUCGGAUGGGCAGAUCUUGCCGCAGUUGUUGAGGAUGAGGCUGAGGUCGAUGGGGAUGUUGAGGUUGAGGCCGAGCACGUUGGCCUUGAUGGCGGUGCAGAGGCAGACGGCGGCGUCGAGGUCGACGAGGCCGUCGAGCAGCGAGCAGCAGGGCUCGUACGGCGCCACCGCGCCGAUCUUGGCCUUCACGAGGCCGAGCACGUUGGCGCACACGUGCAGCUUCAGCGCGUCGCGCGGGCACGACCCGGCGCCGCCGCCGGGCGUCGGCGGCCUCGGCGCCGGCGGCUUCGGCUUCGGCGUCGGCGGCUCCGGGCAGUAGGUGCAGGCGCUCGCCACGGCCACCACCAGGAGGCUCACCGCUAGAACGAGCGCUGCCUUCGCCGCCAUUGCUGCAAUUGAUCAAGCAAAAGCUAGUGAAGAAGAUGAGAGUACUAGGUAGCUAGUAGAUCAGCUCGAGGUUCUUGCUUUGUGUGUGCUUGGAGUGUGCAUGGCGAGUGGUAUUUAUAGUGGCCAUGGAGGAGGAGGAGAUGAUGAGAAGAAGAUGUGUAGAUGGAUGAGUACGUGAAUGGGGGCCUAGAUGAUCAUGCGUGUGGUACCCAAUCGGCGAAUCAAGAAUCGAUCGACCGUGAGUAUGGAUGAUUGAUUGGAUGAACUGUAUUGGGAUUGUGAUUUAUAUUCUCCGUGUGUCCUAGUUGCAAUAUAUUCUUUUCAUCACAAUAUAUUGCUAGAUUUUCCCGGAUCAAUUAAUACUAGUGUAAUACAUGGGUACUGUACAAUUAGAGCUCGUACAAUUAUGGUUUCAGAUCAUCUAGCUAAGGUCCGUAACUUCUGUUUGGGUUUAUAUAUUGAUCAGUAUAUAAGUUUUUUUUAGACUGGUCACCGGAGGGCGAAAUACCCACCUGAAUAUAUUACUUCCAACGAUCUUACACAAGGUGGGUUUCGCCUAUGCAAGCGCAGGAGCCCUAGAGGAUAAUAGGAAAAAAUACACGGCCGGGGACACAGAGAAGAGAAUACAAACACGUCAUAACCUUCCUACCAUGCGCACACACAGCGGCAAAGAGAUAAACUGAGAAGCUUUGACGUUUGCCACCUGCAAAAACACCCAAUCAAAUUUCAAAUCAAACUAAUGCUAGAACCCUAAAUCGACAUCAUCCACUUCACAUGCAGACUUAAACACCAGGAAUUGAAGGUGCCAGAGGGUCUCACUGCCACAUGUAUGCUGGCUUGGUUCAUUGGCAGUCGAAAGACUGUGGUUAUUGAAGACCACCCACACAAAAGGUAGGUCUCAUAGCUAAAGUAUAUAAGUUAGAAUGCCUAAACUUAAACAAAAAAGCAGAUUUUAAAUUAACCUUCUAUUAAACUUGUUGUAAGUAACCGUAGCUCUCUAAGAAGUUGAAAACUAGAUUUGAGUAGCUUUUUUUAAAAAAAAAACUUUUUAUUGAUUUGGAUUUACGUCUCGACUUUUAAACUUGCUACUUGAAAACCGCAUGCUCUAGCCAAAGAGCUACCAUAAAAGCCAAGGCCAAAAAAAAAGAGACCUAAAGUUUUAGCUAUGUUUCUAUAUAUAUAUGGAGCAUGGACAACUGGUUCAAUUCACAUCUCAAUCUAACAGCUUAAUUAUAUAUCAGCACAAAAGGUAGGCAAGAAGUUUGGCUCUUUUGCUGGAAUAAGGCAGAUAUAUAUGAGGGCCCAAACCAUUCCACUUGCAUGCUGAACAAGCUAGGUACGUUAGGUGGGGAACUACCUCUUGGGUGUGUGUGGUUUGUGGUGUUGUACAUGACUUCACCUGCAUGCCAAGCCACCAAAGGGUGCAUAUAUUGAAUGCAAUUCAAUAUUUUAUAAGAUUAUUCAUGCAUGAUGUUAGUUUGGGCCUAUCUAUUAAUAUGAGUGUGAGACAUGGUGUGGGACUGUGCAUGGGUGUGUAUUUCCCUCAUUUCUGCAUUCUCGAAAGGUGUCAUGCAUUGUGCUCAUCACUUAGAGUCGUUUCAAAUUACAGACUUUGAAACUUGGAAACGUAUCAUAUGCACACAAGCCAGCUUUCUUUUAUAUACAUCAUGCAUAUCAACUAACAAAACUUCAUCAAUUUUUUUUAAAAAAAAUUGUACAUGUGCUUUCAGUAGUAUCAUAUUUAUAUGUAAAGUCUCAUCUUCAAAUUCACUAUAUAUAUGAAGCACCAAAUAAGACAAAAUUAUGACCGAUUUAUUCCCUUGAAACUACCAGAAAUUAUAGUUUUUUUUGUUACGGCUAGAGCAUAAUGAAUUUGAGAUUAAGACUUUACACAUAUGUGUAAUAUAAUGCUAUUGGAAGUAUAUGUACAAUUUCUUUCUCUAGAUUUUUUAAAUUUUGUUAAUUAGUAUGCAUGGUGUGUACAUGGAAAGGUUAUGUGUACAGGAUACGUUCCCUUAAAACUUAUACUACCCGUGCGGCAUGUGAGUCAUCCUAGUCAUACUCUCCCUUGGGGGUGGACCUUCCCUUGUUGCAAGCUGUGCCAUCCACCAUAGCUACUUGCCAGCAAGGGAAUCCCAUGCAUGCCUUAUGUGUUGAACAUGCUAACCUUGGAAUCCCAUGCAUGUAUUUUUCUUUGAGGUACUGAAUAUACUAACCCUUGAAACAUAGCGAUGAAUUAGUGCAUAAUUAAUUAAGUAUUAAAAAAACUAGAUUUUGAAAGCAAAAUUGAAUGUAUAUACAAUUCUUGCAUCUCUUUUCAUGAGUACAGGUAUAUUUUAUAUACAACUGUACCAGUCAAAGUAUACUCUUAUAACUUAAGAGAUAUUUAGGUACAAUAACUUUAGUGCAAAAUUUCACCUAGUACCGAAGGUACCUGCUCAAGUACGGUAGAAUCACUCAUAAUCUAAGUCUACCAAUCUACCGUGACCAAACAUUUGCAUAAUAAUAGCUAUUGGCCGGAAUGAGAGUAUAAUAGCUUUUAGAAUGAAUAUGGUGACUCCAUUUCGCCCUCUCUCGUAAAUUAUCUUUUUAUAUAAUUGCAAACCAAAAGCUUAACAUUCAUGAUGACACAACAAGAGACGUUAGAUAUCUCCCCUCAAGCGUGUCAAUUUAUUGUGUGCAAUUAUUGUUCCCUAUUAAUUGCUAUAAAUAUAUAAUCUAGCUUAAUUAUUUAGUACCACUAAAUAUAGCUAUUUGCUAAUUAUUCUUGCCGAUUUUUUUUUUAAAAAAAUUAACAUUUCAUCCUGAUUGUUCACUAUCAGUUAUCACAGCAAUGUGCGAGCUAGCUUUCAGCUGAUCUCAAAGCAUACGAUCGAUGAAAAGUAGAGCUUCAUUUUAUUGGCGAAUCAUUCAUGGGAAUCAAACAACACAUGGAACCAAGAGAUAGAUCAAGAACUAAAGUACUCCAAACAACAUCAAGAUACAGUAGUACUCUCAAGCUCGCAGCCAUGGUCAUGGAGAAACAAGUGCAACAACCAGCUCUAGUGCACGCACUUGAAGUCGGAUGGGCAGAUCUUGCCGCAGUUGUUGAGGAUGAGGCUGAGGUCGACGGGGAGGUCGAGCUUGAUGCCGAGCACGUUGGCCUUGACGGCGGUGCAGAGGCAGACGGCGGCGUCGAGGUCGACGAGGCCGUCGAGCAGCGAGCAGCAGGGCUCGUACGGCGCCACCGCGCCGACCUUGGCCUUGACG